GUUCAUCUUCAGGGCAGGGUGUAAUUCCCGACCGGCGGUAUAGUCCGCGACCUACUCCAUGAGUAGUUGAUUCGGUGCAACUCCGAAACCGACAGUUAAAGUCUGGUAUAAAGAAGAUUUAG
rnacentral:ncRNA from 2 species